GAGAAUUUGCUGCUGCGGGGGGACUCUUUCUGAGGUUACUGUGGAGCACCCAAAGUCUGUCAGCCUCUGGCCGUGCAAACAGGCGCCCAGAGGAACCAGACCUUGCUUCUUAUUCACCCACAGCCUGGGACUGUCUUCCCCAGAGUCUCCAUCAGCUUUCCUAAUCGACUGAUUGGAAAUAAUUCCUCAAACACCACCAAGUCAAGGAUACAGGCAGCAGCGGCUCCCCUGUUGUAUGGACAUUCUGCACCCGAAACUGAUAGCUGAGUCCUGAAGUUUUAUGUUAUGAAACAGAAGAACUUUCAUCCCAGCACAUGAUUUGGGAAUUACACUUUGUGACAUGGAUGAAUCUGCACUGACCCUUGGUACAAUAGAUGUUUCUUAUCUGCCAAAUUCAUCAGAAUACAGUGUUGGUCGAUGUAAGCACACAAGUGAGGAAUGGGGUGAGUGUGGCUUUAGACCCACCGUCUUCAGAUCUGCAACUUUAAAAUGGAAAGAAAGCCUAAUGAGUCGGAAA
rnacentral:sRNA from 1 species